rnacentral:rRNA from 1 species
UUAUAACCGGCGAUUUCCGAAUGGGGAAACCCAGUGUGUUUCGACACACUAUCAUUAACUGAAUCCAUAGGUUAAUGAGGCGAACCGGGGGAACUGAAACAUCUAAGUACCCCGAGGAAAAGAAAUCAACCGAGAUUCCCCCAGUAGCGGCGAGCGAACGGGGAGGAGCCCAGAGCCUGAAUCAGUGUGUGUGUUAGUGGAAGCGUCUGGAAAGGCGCGCGAUACAGGGUGACAGCCCCGUACACAAAAAUGCACAUGCUGUGAGCUCGAUGAGUAGGGCGGGACACGUGGUAUCCUGUCUGAAUAUGGGGGGACCAUCCUCCAAGGCUAAAUACUCCUGACUGACCGAUAGUGAACCAGUACCGUGAGGGAAAGGCGAAAAGAACCCCGGCGAGGGGAGUGAAAAAGAACCUGAAACCGUGUACGUACAAGCAGUGGGAGCACGCUUCGGCGUGUGACUGCGUACCUUUUGUAUAAUGGGUCAGCGACUUAUAUUCUGUAGCAAGGUUAACCGAAUAGGGGAGCCGAAGGGAAACCGAGUCUUAACUGGGCGUUAAGUUGCAGGGUAUAGACCCGAAACCCGGUGAUCUAGCCAUGGGCAGGUUGAAGGUUGGGUAACACUAACUGGAGGACCGAACCGACUAAUGUUGAAAAAUUAGCGGAUGACUUGUGGCUGGGGGUGAAAGGCCAAUCAAACCGGGAGAUAGCUGGUUCUCCCCGAAAGCUAUUUAGGUAGCGCCUCGUGAAUUCAUCUCCGGGGGUAGAGCACUGUUUCGGCAAGGGGGUCAUCCCGACUUACCAACCCGAUGCAAACUGCGAAUACCGGAGAAUGUUAUCACGGGAGACACACGGCGGGUGCUAACGUCCGUCGUGAAGAGGGAAACAACCCAGACCGCCAGCUAAGGUCCCAAAGUCAUGGUUAAGUGGGAAACGAUGUGGGAAGGCCCAGACAGCCAGGAUGUUGGCUUAGAAGCAGCCAUCAUUUAAAGAAAGCGUAAUAGCUCACUGGUCGAGUCGGCCUGCGCGGAAGAUGUAACGGGGCUAAACCAUGCACCGAAGCUGCGGCAGCGACACUAUGUGUUGUUGGGUAGGGGAGCGU